UCUUCGGAAUGAGUGGCGCACGGCUGAGGAACACGUGACUAACCUACCCCGGUGUGGGGGAUAACGGGUCGAAAGACUCGCUAAUCCCGCAUACGAUCCGCCUCGGCGGAGGAAAGCCGUAAGGCGCACUGGGCGGGGGUCGCGUCCCAUUAGAUAGUUGGUGUGGUAAUGGCGCACCAAGUCGAUGAUGGGUCUCUGGUCUGAGAGGACGACCAGACAGAUUGGGACUGACACACGGCCCAAACUCCUACGGGGGGCAGCAGCAAGGAAUUUUCGGCAAUGGGCGCAAGCCUGACCGAGCAACGCCGCGUGGAGGAUGACGGCUCUUGGGUUGUAAACUCCUUUUGGGGGGGACGAUAAUGACGGUACCCUCCGAAUCAGGCCCGGCUAACUACGUGCCAGCAGCCGCGGUAAUACGUAGGGGCCAAGCGUUGUCCGGAAUUACUGGGCGUAAAGCGUGGGUAGGUGGUCGGUGAUGUGCCGCGUGAAAGCGCCGGAGUAAUGCCGGCGAGGUCGCGGUACACACACGGACUCGAGGCUCGCAGAGGAACGUGGAAUUCCCGGUGUAGUGGUGAAAUGCGUAGAUAUCGGGAGGAACACCAGUGGCGCAAGCGGCGUUCUGGGCGAGACCUGACACUGAGCCACGACGGCGUGGGGAGCAAACAGGAUUAGAUACCCUGGUAGUCCACGCAGUAAACGAUGCAUACCAGGUGUGGGAUGGCGUUCGCGUCG
rnacentral:rRNA from 1 species